rnacentral:lncRNA from 1 species
AUGUUGCUCUUCAUGGCCUUGUCCUUGACGUUCUCUCAAGGGCUUUAUUAUCUGGCAGUCCUUGCAACAAACAGAAUGACCUCUGGCUUCCUCUUACCUCUGAACCGUACAUCUUCUAUUGCCUGGAGUGCAUUCCCACCCUUGUUCAUCUGGCUUAGAGCUCCUCCUCUUCCCUGGGCAGCCUGCCCUCAUGCUCCCUCUACCUUCUGGAGCAGGGUGCCCGCCCUGCUGCCUGGGAGCUCCUUGAGAUCUGGCACGGUCAUCUUUUGCUGCACUCUACACCUACUCACUGCACCUCCUGUCUCAUUUUUAUUCCUUGCAACUGUAUGCUUUUGUGAAAUUAGUCUUCAGAAGCAAUUGAUAAUGUCACUCCAGUGUGUAAUGAGAUCAUAGAAACUUGCAUCACUUGAAGCCGAACUGCUGAUACAUAAACUGACAAACUCUAUUUUGAAUCCAAGCUGAGUUUUUGAAAGUCUCCGAGGAUUCCUUUGAAUGGUAUGUAUCAUAGAGGUUGGAGGGCAUUAGGCACACAGCACCCUGACUCCCUCCUCUGCAACUGACUUAUGUUGAGAUUUCUGAACAGCCUCUAACUUCCUUAGAUCUAAUAGGAUCAAAUAAGUGGUAAAUACCUGGUGGUAGUAGAGACUAGAAAACAGUGGAUUUAGUUCCAUUAGUGCUCUUGGCUUGGGAGCUAGAAGUUCUGCCCUAGAGUUCCAUUGAGCAUGCUAAGUAAUUGAGUCCUGAAAACAUGACAGUGUUGGACACUUAAAGAAUUGACUUUACUGAGGAUGGGACUUAGGGAAAAAAGAAGAUUCUGCAUUUUAUAUAUCAGCUACACAUUCAUUCCCACUUUUACCACUUAAGGGAAAGAAGUUUAAAAAUCUCUUUUUAAAAAAGAGACAAGCAAAAAACAAACAAACAAACAUACUCCUAAUAUAGAGAACAAACUGGUGAUUACCAGAGGGGAGGUGGGUGGGGCAUUGGUGAAAUAGGCAAAGGGGAUUAAGAGUACACUCAUAGUGAUGAGCAAUGAGUAAUAUGUAAAAUUGUUGAAUCACUCUAUUGUACACUUGAAACUAAUAUAACACUGCAUGUUAAUUAUAGAAUUUAAACACAAAUGCAAAACAAAAAACCUUAAACCUACAACAACCAUAUGACCCAUAUAUUCAGCUUCUCUUUAUUUACUAAAGCAAAGUUAAAAGAUAUGUCCACACACACAAAAAACUCUCCUUUAGAUGCCUUUUAUUUAUUUUUAUGCUUAUUUCUUUUAUUGAAGUAAGAAAUGGGUUGUGUAUGCAGAUGUGUAUUUUUAAACCUUUUGAACCCAAAGAACUUUAUUCAGUAUUCAUUAUGUUUGUAAGCAUGGUUUGAGCAUAUCUAAAGUGACGGAUUAGCUGGCUACAAAAUUUAUAGCUAUUGG